UGGGGAAUUUUGGACAAUGGGCGAAAGCCUGAUCCAGCAAUGCCGCGUGUGUGAAGAAGGCCUUCGGGUUGUAAAGCACUUUUGUCCGGAAAGAAAUCCUUGGCUCUAAUACAGUCGGGGGAUGACGGUACCGGAAGAAUAAGCACCGGCUAACUACGUGCCAGCAGCCGCGGUAAUACGUAGGGUGCAAGCGUUAAUCGGAAUUACUGGGCGUAAAGCGUGCGCAGGCGGUUUGCUAAGACCGAUGUGAAAUCCCCGGGCUCAACCUGGGAACUGCAUUGGUGACUGGCAGGCUAGAGUAUGGCAGAGGGGGGUAGAAUUCCACGUGUAGCAGUGAAAUGCGUAGAGAUGUGGAGGAAUACCGAUGGCGAAGGCAGCCCCCUGGGCCAAUACUGACGCUCAUGUACGAAAGCGUGGGGAGCAAACAGGAUUAGAUACCCUGGUAGUCCACGCCCUAAACGAUGUCAACUAGUUGUUGGGGAAUUCAUUUCCUUAGUAACGUAGCUAACGCGUGAAGUUGACCGCCUGGGGAGUACGGUCGCAAGAUUAAAACUCAAAGGAA
rnacentral:rRNA from 1 species